AACGAACGCUGGCGGCAGGCUUAACACAUGCAAGUCGAACGCGUGUAGCAAUACACGAGUGGCGCACGGGUGAGUAACGCGUGGAUAUCUGCCUUUUGGUUCGGAAUAACCCCGGGAAACUGGGGCUAAUACCGGAUGGUUCCUUCGGGAUAAAGAUUUAUCGCCAAAAGAUGAGUCCGCGUACGAUUAGCUAGUUGGUGAGGUAAUGGCUCACCAAGGCGACGAUCGUUAGCUGGUCUGAGAGGACGAUCAGCCACACUGGGACUGAGACACGGCCCAGACUCCUACGGGAGGCAGCAGUGGGGAAUAUUAGACAAUGGGGGCAACCCUGAUCCAGCCAUGCCGCGUGAGUGAUGAAGGCCUUCGGGUUGUAAAGCUCUUUUGGCGGGGACGAUGAUGACGGUACCCGCAGAAUAAGCCCCGGCUAACCUCGUGCCAGCAGCCGCGGUAAAAC
rnacentral:rRNA from 1 species